rnacentral:rRNA from 1 species
GACGAACGCUGGCGGCGUGCUUAACACAUGCAAGUCGAACGGAAAGGCCACUUUGGGGGUACUCGAGUGGCGGACGGGUGCGUAACACGUGAGUAACCUGCCCUUGACUUCGGGAUAACUUCAGGAAACUGGGGCUAAUACCGGAUAGGAAUCCUUGCUGCAUGGUGGGGGUUGGAAAGCUUCGGCGGUUUUGGGUGGACUCGCGGCUUAUCAGCUUGUUGGUGGGGUAGUGGCUUACGAAGGCUUUGACGGGUAGCCGGCCUGAGAGGGCGACCGGCCACAUUGGGACUGAGAGACGGCGCAGACGCCUACGGGAGGCAGCAGUGGGGAAUCUUGCACAAUGGGCGGAAGUCUGAUGCAGCAACGCCGCGGGCGGGAUGACGGCCUGCGGGUUGUAAACCGCUUUCAGCAGGGGCGAAGCUUGUGGUGACGGUACCUGCAGAAGAAGCACCGGCUAACUACGUG